CAUAGUGUCUUUUCUACCUCCCUUUGCAAGAUCCUGAAGGGUGAAAUAUGGCAGGACUUUGAGGUCUUUAGCAUAACAGAAAUAUUCUGAAAAUCUCCCCCUGGAUCGGCAACUGUAAAGGCCAACAGGUGGAUUUUGAAACAGGCAGUUGCUAUACUACUGGUCCAAUUUCCUCCAUCAAAUUUGGUUCAAUGAUUUCUCUAUCAACUUCAACAUCCCAUUUAUGCAACAACUGGCAAACAUCUAGUAUAUGUCAGAGACUGUACUAAUCACUGAAGGA